rnacentral:rRNA from 1 species
GACGAACGCUGGCGGCGUGCUUAACACAUGCAAGUCGAACGGAAAGGCCCUGCUUUUGUGGGGUGCUCGAGUGGCGAACGGGUGAGUAACACGUGAGUAACCUGCCCUUGACUUUGGGAUAACUUCAGGAAACUGGGGCUAAUACCGGAUAGGAGCUCCUGCUGCAUGGUGGGGGUUGGAAAGUUUCGGCGGUUGGGGAUGGACUCGCGGCUUAUCAGCUUGUUGGUGGGGUAGUGGCUUACCAAGGCUUUGACGGGUAGCCGGCCUGAGAGGUUGACCGGCCACAUUGGGACUGAGAGACGGCCCAGACUCCUACGGGAGGCAGCAGGGGGGAGUAUUGCACAAUGGGCGGAAGCCUGAUGCAGCAACGCCGCGUGCGGGAUGACGGCCUUCGGGUUGUAAACCGCUUUCGCCUGUGACGAAGCGUGAGUGACGGUAAUGGGUAAAGAAGCACCGGCUAACUACGUG